rnacentral:rRNA from 1 species
CCUACGGGUGGCAGCAGUGGGGAAUAUUGGGCAAUGGACGCAAGUCUGACCCAGCAACGCCGCGUGUAGGAAGAAGGCUUUCGGGUUGUAAACUUCUUUUAAGGGGGAAGAGCAGAAGACGGUACCCCUUGAAUAAGCCACGGCUAACUACGAGCCAGCAGCCGCGGUAAUACGUAGGUGGCAAGCGUUGUCCGGAUUUACUGGGGGUAAAGGGCACGCAGCCGGGAUGACAAGGCAGAUGUGAAAUCCCGCGGCUCAACCGCGGAACUGCAUUUGACACUGGUUUUCUUGAGUAUCGGAGAGGGAUGCGGAAUUCCUGGUGUAGCGGUGAAAUGCGUAGAUAUCAGGAAGAACACCAGUGGCGAAGGCGGAUUACUGGACGACGACUGACGGUGAGGCGCGAAAGCGUGGGGAGCAAACAGGAUUAGAUACCCGUGUAGUC